UAGUUUUGCUGAACUCUCUGUCUCGUUGGUUUGAUUCUGUUCACCUGUGUCUUGUUUUCCCAAGCGGUGCUCUCUCUCUAAUUACUUCAUCUGUGUACUUAAGCCCUCAGUUUGGUUUGGGUUGCUGCUGUUGUUGUGUUACACUGUUUGUUCUGUGUCUGUAAGCCUGUGUGUUUUGGCUGCACCUUUCUUUGGACUUUUGUUUUUUCCUGUUGUUGGAUUACAUCUUAACCAAAUAAAGAUUUCCACAACAAGCUUGUCAAAAGUGGGAUACCAUGGCUGAUUGGAUCUGGAUCUGGAGUCUGAGAUGGACAUUUAUAGAUCAUUGUGGAAAAAUGCAUUUCCAAGAUCUCCCAUAGUCGAGAGAUGAAGUGGGCUAACCUUUUGGACCCCAGACCAUCUCUACUGUGAUACUCAGGAAUAUACCAUAAUGUUCUCAAAGGUGAGACAUCUAAACUAAAUUGCUGUAAUUUGUAGAAAAAAGUCUAGAGAUUAUUCAAUACAGAGCAGAUUAAAUCAGUGUUCUUGGAAAACCCCAGGAAAAAAAUUAAAUUGAGAGCCAGGGGUCCUCCUGAGGUUUAGUGGUUGUAACUGUUUUUGCCAGGUUUAAGUUCCUGUCUAUAAGCAGAGAUUAGCACACCAGAUAAAAGGAUGGAAACAUAGGGUGGAUAUAGAAAUAAGCAUAAUAAGCGGUUGAUUUCAUAUCUCCAAAUGGGUUUAACAUGAGAAAAACAUGGUGAUAAAGCUUAUAGUGUUUUGUAUGUUUAGUUACAACAUUUUGUUUUGUUUCCACACGAUGUAACAUAUUUUUUUGGGUGCCAGAACUAAAGUACUAAAUUAUCUGCUAACAUCCUGAAACUGUACGGGUGCAGCACACAGACACAAAUACAUGUUAACUGGUGCCGAGUAACAGACUAAUAGAAGAGUCACCAAAAUUGGAGCACGAACUUCUUUGUCAUAUUUGUCAGAUAAUGGGCCAAAAGGCAGCAACAGCACAAACAGUUCCAGCGCAGUAAUUCAGAGGUAAGGUCACACAGCUAUCAGCUACAUCUCCUUGUGUCAGGACAGCUGUCAAUCAAAAUGGUUGCAGCCCUAACUUUAAGCCUAGCAGAAUCCAAAUUCACGAGUUUAAAACAGAAAGUGUCAUGAAGAUGGUCACGCCACAAUUCCAAAGCUUGUAAAAAUAUAAAAACAACCUGGAAGCUUUUUGCUUUCAUUUAUAUGCAAAUUUUGUCUAAAUUUCAACAGAAUUAUGGUCGCAUUAAAAAACUCAGGUUAGAUCAGGGUCUGGAUCAAAUAGUGAGAUUGGGGGGGGGGUAGAUUGAUAAAGAAAUUGAUAACAUAAAACAAUUCAUGUGUAUAAGUUUUCAAGGAGGCGGUCCAGCAGCUAACAUUCAAAUAUUUGCUAAACUCACUGCUCACAAUAUAAAGUAUAAACUGAGUUUCACAUUUUUAAUUGCCGUCUGAAUGUAUGAAUGUUAUAUACCCUGUAUGGAACACUCAAAGUAUCCAUGACAAUGCCUAGUGCAGAACCAGUGGUUAGUACCCAAACAGUGCAUACCAUCAAGUUUUACAUUGGAAGAAUUCAGAACAACCCCCACAUGUCCCCAGAUUGGCAGUUCAGCAGUUAAGAAGACAGAUGAACUGACAGUGAGGUCCUGCCUCCCUGUUGAAAUUUCUGUAAGUGGUCUGACCCCAGCAUACCUCCAACAGCUAAUAACUAAUAACUGGCUACCAGGGGGACUGUGUGUCUUUCUGUGGGGGAGGGUAAAUAAUAAUGCCCACACAAGCUCAAGUUAUGUCGAGGUGAUGUACAUCUACUGCAGUAAUCCUCAACGCCGACGCAUCCACUGUGAUGCCAUUGAUUUUUCUAAAUUGCAUAUUCUUUCCAUAUUCCUGCGAUGCCUUAAUUGUUUUAGAUUAAGACACCUCCACCUACCAUUUGUAGAUUUUACAGACAUUUUUUCCAGUUAAUAACUUCAACAACUUCAACUUCAGUGAAUAUGAUGUUAUCAUAGCCUGUGGUAAGAUGACUGCUAUCCUUCAACUAUCCUCUACAUUCAGUAUGUAGCCCUCUGAAAUUUGUUAAACUUUUUUUAUUGUAUUGAAUUCAAGGAUUUGUUUUUUGUGGAAACGAAAAAAAUAUA